AUUGAACGCUGGCGGCAUGCUUUACACAUGCAAGUCGAACGGUAACAGGUUAAGCUGACGAGUGGCGAACGGGUGAGUAAUGCAUCGGAACGUGCCCGGUCGUGGGGGAUAACACUUCGAAAGAAGUGCUAAUACCGCAUACGAUCUGAGGAUGAAAGCGGGGGACCGUAAGGCCUCGCGCGAUCGGCGCGGCCGAUGUCAGAUUAGGUAGUUGGUGGGGUAAAGGCCCACCAAGCCGACGAUCUGUAGCUGGUCUGAGAGGACGACCCGCCACACUGGGACUGAGACACGGCCCAGACUCCUACGGGAGGCAGCAGUGGGGAAUUUUGGACGAUGGGCGCAAGCCUGAUCCAGCAAUGCCGCGUGCAGGAAGAAGGCCUUCGGGUUGUAAACUGCUUUUGUACGGAGCGAAAAGGCUCUCUCUAAUACAGGGGGCUGAUGACGGUACCGUAAGAAUAAGCACCGGCUAACUACGUGCCAGCCGCCGCGGUAA
rnacentral:rRNA from 1 species